GGUGAUUGCAAGGAGGAGGUGUCUUGGCAGGUGCGGAACUGCUGCUCCAGGCUCCUGGGUGGCUGUCCUGGGAGGAAGAUGUAUCUCCCAGCCUCUUGUGAACAUUUAAGACAGGAAGAAAAGGACGCUGAUUGAAACCAUGUUGCCUGACCACCUCUAGCUGCAAAGGAUGUUAGAUAAAAGACUAUGAAUAUUCCCAACAUCAUUUCUGAAAAGCACUGUGGUGGUUUGUAGCUGUAUGUACCCCAGAUAAACAUGUUCUUAAAUCUCAUCCUUUCCUAUGGGUGUAAGUCCAUGGCAGGUAGG
rnacentral:lncRNA from 1 species